rnacentral:rRNA from 1 species
UGCUGCAUGGCUGUCGUCAGCUCGUGUCGUGAGAUGUCGGUUAAGUCCGCUAACGAGCGCAACCCUCGCUGUGUGUUAUAUGUGUCACACGGGACUGCCGGUCUUAAGCCGGAGGAAGGUGGGGAUGAUGUCAAGUCAGCAUGGCCUUUAUAUCCUGGGCUACACACACGCUACAAUGGCCAACACAAUAGGUUGCUAAGCCGCGAGGUGGCGCCAAUCCAUAAAGUUGGUCUCAGUUCAGAUUGUAGGCUGCAACCCGCCUGCAUGAAGAUGGAGUUGCUAGUAACCGCAGGUCAGCUAUACUGCGGUGAAUACGUUCCCGGGGCUU